rnacentral:rRNA from 1 species
UGCAAGUCGAACGGCAGCAUGAACUGGUUUACCAGUUUGAUGGCGAGUGGCGGACGGGUGAGUAACGCGUAGGAAUAUGCCUUGAAGUGGGGGAUAACUUGGGGAAACUCAAGCUAAUACCGCAUAAGCUCUUAGGAGUAAAGCUGGGGACCUUCGGGCCUGGCGCUUUGAGAUUAGCCUGCGUACGAUUAGCUAGUUGGUGGGGUAAAAGCCUACCAAGGCGACGAUCGUUAGCUGGUCUGAGAGGAUGGCCAGCCACACUGGAACUGAGACACGGUCCAGACUCCUACGGGAGGCAGCAGUGGGGAAUAUUGGACAAUGGGGGGAACCCUGAUCCAGCAAUGCCGCGUGUGUGAAGAAGGCCUGAGGGUUGUAAAGCACUUUCAGUGGGGAGGAGGAUUGACAGGUUAAGAGCUAGUUAAUUGGACGUUACCCACAGAAGAAGCACCGGCUAACUCCGUGCCAGCAGCCGCGGUAAUACGGAGGGUGCAAGCGUUAAUCGGAAUUACUGGGCGUAAAGGGUGCGUAGGUGGUUGAUU